rnacentral:rRNA from 1 species
UACGGAGGAUGCAAGCGUUAUCCGGAUUUAUUGGGCGUAAAGCGUCCGCAGGUGGUUUUCCAAGUCUGCUGUUAAAGCGCGAGGCUUAACCUCGUACAGGCAGUGGAAACUGGAUGACUAGAGUAUGGUAGGGGUAGCGGGAAUUCCCAGUGUAGCGGUGAAAUGCGUAGAUAUUGGGAAGAACACCCGUAGCGAAGGCGGCACUCUGGGCCGGUACUGACGCUGAGGAGCGAAAGCGUGGGGAGCAAACAGG